GACGAACGCUGGCGGCGUGCUUAACACAUGCAAGUCGAACGGAAAGGCCCUGCUUUUGUGGGGUGCUCGAGUGGCGAACGGGUGAGUAACACGUGAGUAACCUGACCUUGACUUUGGGAUAAGUUCAGGAAACUGGGGCUAAUACCGGAUAGGAGCUCCUGCUGCAGGGUGGGGGUUGGAAAGUUUCGGCGGGUGGGGAUGGACGCGCGGCUUAUCAGCUUGUUGGUGGGGUAGUGGCUUACCAAGGCUUUGACGGGUAGCCGGCCUGAGAGGGUGACCGGCCACAUUGGGACUGAGAUACGGCCCAGACUCCUACGGGAGGCAGCAGUGGGGAAUAUUGCACAAUGCGCGGAAGCCUGAUGCAGCAACGCCGCGUGCGGGAUGACGGCCUUCGGGUUGUAAACCGCUUUCGCCUGUAACGAAGCGUGAGUGACGGUAAUGGGUAAAGAAGCACCGGCUAACUACGUG
rnacentral:rRNA from 1 species